CUUGUCGUGUACCCAAAGCUUCUGGAAAGCAGGACAGAUGAUGGCCGCCUCAUCUUACACGUUCACGAUAAUAUGGUUCUCACUCUGGAAAAGAGCUCUAUAUUGGGAAAGCAUUUACACUUUGUGUCUUCGUCUCUUGAAGAUUCCCAUACAUCCAUACUAAACGGGGAAGAACUACAAAGAAACUUGUAUCAUGAUAUCACGCAUACGUCGUCUCUGAUCGUUGACAGUGCAGGAGGCCGUCUACAAGUGCGAGGAAUUCUCACCCACAAGUUUAGAAUCGCUCCGGUUGUAGUGUCGAGCCGAUCCAGUACUCAAGCUAAUGCACAUGAGGUCGUCGAAAUCCUAGAAGAUUCAGCACAAAGCAGCGACAACAGUAAGCCCUCAAUUAUUGUUGUAGAUCGUCUGUAUGCAGUGGAUAUUGAUCCAUAUUGUUAAAACA
rnacentral:lncRNA from 1 species